CCUACGGGAGGCAGCAGUGGGGAAUAUUGGGCAAUGGGCGCAAGCCUGACCCAGCAACGCCGCGUGAAGGAAGAAGGCUUUCGGGUUGUAAACUUCUUUUGUCAGGGACGAAGCAAGUGACGGUACCGGACGAAUAAGCCACGGCUAACGACGUGCCAGCAGCCGCGGUAAUACGUAGGGGGCAAGCGUUAUCCGGAUUGACGGGGUGUAAAGGGCGCGUAGGCGGGACGGGCAGGCAGAGGUGAAAACCACGGGCUCACCCUGUGGCCUGCAUUUGAAACUGUAGUUCGUGAGUACUGGAGAGCCAGCCGGACUUCCUCUUGUAGCUGUGUACUGCGUACCUAUUAGGCGG
rnacentral:rRNA from 1 species